GCCCGCUUGGCAUAGUGGUACUGCGUGUCACUCGUAAAUUCUCGAUAUCAUGACAAGAUCCACGGUUCGAUUCCGUGAGUAUAUU
rnacentral:tRNA from 1 species